rnacentral:rRNA from 1 species
UAGGGAAUCUUCCGCAAUGGGCGAAAGCCUGACGGAGCAACGCCGCGUGAGUGAUGAAGGUCUUCGGAUCGUAAAACUCUGCUAUUAGGGAAGAACAAAUGUGUAAGUAACUAUGCACGUCUUGACGGUACCUAAUCAGAAAGCCACGGCGAACUACGUGCCAGCAGCCGCGGUAAUACGUAGGUGGCAAGCGUUAUCCGGAAUUAUUGGGCGUAAAGCGCGCGUAGGCGGUUUUUUAAGUCUGAUGUGAAAGUCCACGGCUCAACCGUGGAGGGUCAUUGGAAACUGGAAGACUUGAGUGCAGAAGAGGAAAGUGGAAUUCCAUGUGUAGCGGUGAAAUGCGCAGAGAUAUGGAGGAACACCAGUGGCGAAGGCGACUUUCUGGUCUGUAACUGACGCUGAUGUGCGAAAGCGUGGGGAUCAAACAGG